AGUUUUUUUUAUUUUUUAAGUUUUCCAAAGUUUUUUCUUCUUCCUCUUCUCUCUCUUUCUUCAAUUUCAAAUGCGCAGUUCUGAAAA
rnacentral:ribozyme from 1 species